rnacentral:lncRNA from 1 species
UUAAAUACCCCUUUCAUAAAUCUGAUGAUUAAGGGAUGGUUAUCGGCCCUGCAGCCGUCCACUACGAUGCCUAGGGAAGAGAGAGCACUUCUUGCCGUGUUAACUGAGUCAUACCUGAUUUUUCUGUGAAAAGUAUCAAACAAGAAAUUGAUUAUGUUGGUGAGAGUGGGAUUAAGGGGAUUAACGUUCCAUCUAUCACAAAAUUGCGACUAUCUUCUAAAAUGUGGGUGGUACUGCUUCCAUGUACCUUUUGUCCACGAGACCAUGAGGAUAUCCAUACCCCCUGUAGAUAUUCGUUGUGCUCAGAACUGCUCCCUGACAGCAGGCAUGCCAUCAGUCUGGUGUGAUGCAUGACCGGCUACUCCUUUGCAGAGGACAGGUAGGUGAGAACCUGUCUCCUAACUGCAAUAAAUCGUGGGUGAUUGACCAGCAUCCUGAGCAUGGUCCCCAUCCAUGGCUGUGACAACCAGAUGGGGAACAACCAUCCACCCUCGCCUCUUUUGCUCUCAUCUUCUGUAGACAUCUAGUAAUUAAUGAAAAUGGGGGAAAGAUGUAAGGUAGUUUAAACCUCGCCCAGUUUAGUGAGAAUGCAUCAAAAUAUUCUGCUUCUGGAUCCAAUUUCCAGGAGCAAAAUGAGGAUAUUUGCUUAUUAAGCCUUGACGCAAACAAAUCUAUGACUGGUGUACCAAAUAACCCACACAAAAGCUGAAAAAUGUUUCCAUUAAGUUUCCAUUCAUGCCUAUUGUUAACUGCACACAAUGCCAUGUCAGCCAUCAUGUUGUCCUUGCCUGGGAUAUGUGAACAUGUGAUCCAUGCAUCAUUAGCGAUACACCAGUCCCAAAUUUCAUUGGCAAUACUAUUAUAAACUGGUGACUUUGUGCCUCCCGUCUCAUUCACAUAAGUCAUAGCAAUGGUGUUGUCGCAAAACACUUUGAUAUGUUUUCCUUUUAGGUCUAAUCUGAAAGUCUGAAGGACAAGCAAAAUAACUUUAAGCUCAAGGGCGUUGAUGUGCAACAGCCUCUCUUCCAUAGACCAACUCCCAAAGACAGACCGUCAAUCAAGGUGGCCCUCCCCAGCCUAAAUUGGAAGCAUCAGUAUAUAAGUCCUGUCCUAAACUUUUUCUGUCCUGCAUGUUAAUGUUAUGAAUCCACCUGUGGCAGUAAUCAAAGCAGUCGUUAGUUUCCCACUUUAUUAUAACAGAGGGUAGGUGGGCGAACACAGGAACCCGGGCUGGUAUGCCUAAAACUUCAUAAAAACUCCUCAUAAAGCAACUCACAACUACCAGUUUCUACUCACAGCAAUGAGCUGGAUUUAUGAGUCAUGCAGAAUUACUCGUAAGACAACUCCUAGCUGUGAGCCGAGUGAUUUAUGACCUACACCUAAGAAGAUUUAGAUCCUGAUCUUGAAGGCGCUACAGGAUGUAUUUACCACUACGAAUAUGUUUUUAUCACAUCAAAGUUAAAUAUAGAAAUUUCUGUAAUAUAUUGGGUGCAGAAAUGAGAAUCUAUUAAAAUAUCAUACCGCGAAAAGAAUAUGUGUGGAUUUGACCUUGGCGGCAGAUGCUGUCCACACUCACAACAACAGCAGCAGCAGCCAGCCAUCCACAUGAAGAUCAUCAACAAGGAACUCCAAUGCCAGCAUGAACCAGCAUGAGGCUUCCCCAAAGGGGGAGGUCCUGCAACUCCUACAUUAGAUGUUAUUACGCAAUUCAUUUACGACAUCCUGGGGGAAGGCAAUGUAACCUUCCAAGGCAUCACCACAGGAUUGGACACAAGCCUGGAAUCUGUCAAUGUGUUGGUAGUUGACAGAUUAGAAGAGGUUGAUUGUGCGGGAGCACCAACAACCACCAGCCUGCCAUGUCUUCCUCUGCCUGAUGCUGAAGGUCCACCGCAGGACAGCUUUGUGAUGGAGGCUCUUGAAGAAGAGAGUGAGGUGCCACCCCC